rnacentral:rRNA from 1 species
AGAGUUUGAUCCUGGCUCAGGACGAACGCUGGCGGCGUGCCUAAUACAUGCAAGUAGAACGCUGAAGAGAGGAGCUUGCUCUUCUUGGAUGAGUUGCGAACGGGUGAGUAACGCGUAGGUAACCUGCCUUGUAGCGGGGGAUAACUAUUGGAAACGAUAGCUAAUACCGCAUAACAAUGGAUGACACAUGUCAUUUAUCUGAAAGGGGCAAUUGCUCCACUACAAGAUGGACCUGCGUUGUAUUAGCUAGUAGGUGAGGUAAUGGCUCACCUAGGCGACGAUACAUAGCCGACCUGAGAGGGUGAUCGGCCACACUGGGACUGAGACACGGCCCAGACUCCUACGGGAGGCAGCAGUAGGGAAUCUUCGGCAAUGGGGGCAACCCUGACCGAGCAACGCCGCGUGAGUGAAGAAGUAUUUCGGAUUGUAAACUCCUGUUGUUGAGGAAGAUAAUGACGGUACUCAACAAGGAAGUGACGGCUAACUACGUGCCAGCAGCCGCGGUAAAACGUAGGUCACAAGCGUUGUCCGGAAUUACUGGGUGUAAAGGGAGCGCAGGCGGGAAGACAAGUUGGAAGUGAAAUCCAUGGGCUCAACCCAUGAACUGCUUUCAAAACUGUUUUUCUUGAGUAGUGCAGAGGUAGGCGGAAUUCCCGGUGUAGCGGUGGAAUGCGUAGAUAUCGGGAGGAACACCAGUGGCGAAGGCGGCCUACUGGGCACCAACUGACGCUGAGGCUCGAAAGUGUGGGUAGCAAACAGGAUUAGAUACCCUGGUAGUCCACACUGUAAACGAUGAUUACUAGGUGUUGGAGGAUUGACCCCUUCAGUGCCGCAGUUAACACAAUAAGUAAUCCACCUGGGGAGUACGACCGCAAGGUUGAAACUCAAAGGAAUUGACGGGGGCCCGCACAAGCAGUGGAGUAUGUGGUUUAAUUCGACGCAACGCGAAGAACCUUACCAAGUCUUGACAUCCUGCGACGGACAUAGAAAUAUGUUUUUCCUUCGGGACGCAGAGACAGGAGGUGCAUGGUUGUCGUCAGCUCGUGUCGUGAGAUGUUGGGUUAAGUCCCGCAACGAGCGCAACCCUUAUGGUCAGUUACUACGCAAGAGGACUCUGGCCAGACUGCCGUUGACAAAACGGAGGAAGGUGGGGAUGACGUCAAAUCAUCAUGCCCUUUAUGACUUGGGCUACACACGUACUACAAUGGCGUUAAACAAAGAGAAGCAAGACCGCGAGGUGGAGCAAAACUCAGAAACAACGUCCCAGUUCGGACUGCAGGCUGCAACUCGCCUGCACGAAGUCGGAAUUGCUAGUAAUCGCAGAUCAGCAUGCUGCGGUGAAUACGUUCCCGGGCCUUGCACUCACCGCCCGUCA